UACGAAGGGGGCUAGCGUUGUUCGGAAUUACUGGGCGUAAAGCGCACGUAGGCGGAUAUUUAAGUCAGGGGUGAAAUCCCGGGGCUCAACCCCGGAACUGCCUUUGAUACUGGGUAUCUAGAGUCCAGAAGAGGUGAGUGGAAUUCCGAGUGUAGAGGUGAAAUUCGUAGAUAUUCGGAGGAACACCAGUGGCGAAGGCGGCUCACUGGUCUGGUACUGACGCUGAGGUGCGAAAGCGUGGGAGCAAACAGG
rnacentral:rRNA from 1 species